UUACCCAUUAAGAUGUUAUAUCUGGUUCAGCAGGCUGUUGCAGGAUGAAUAGAUGUGUGGCAGGCGAAGGAAAGAUGGUCAGAGCAGGCGACGGAGUUUUGUUGACGGAGCGGAGUUUUGCUGCCGACGGUAAUGUGUGCAGUGGGGCAGC